CUUGCUAGGUGGAUUAGUGGCGAACGGGUGAGUAAUACGUGAGUGACCUACCUUUGACUCUGGGAUAAGCCUGGGAAACUGGGUCUAAUACCGGAUACGACCAAUCUCCGCAUGGGGUGUUGGUGGAAAGCGUUAUGGAGUGGUUUUAGAUGGGCUCACGGCCUAUCAGCUUGUUGGUGAGGUAAUGGCUUACCAAGGCGACGACGGGUAGCCGGCCUGAGAGGGUGACCGGCCACACUGGGACUGAGACACGGCCCAGACUCCUACGGGAGGCAGCAGUGGGGAAUAUUGCACAAUGGGCGCAAGCCUGAUGCAGCGACGCCGCGUGAGGGAUGACGGCCUUCGGGUUGUAAACCUCUGUUAGCAUCGAAGAAGCGAAAGUGACGGUAGGUGCAGAGAAAGCGCCGGCUAACUACGUGCCAGCAGCCGCGGUAAUACGUAGGGCGCGAGCGUUGUCCGGAAUUAUUGGGCGUAAAGAGCUUGUAGGCGGUUGGUCGCGUCUGCUGUGAAAGGCUGGGGCUUAACCCUGGUUUUGCAGUGGGUACGGGCUAACUAGAGUGCAGUAGGGGAGACUGGAAUUCCUGGUGUAGCGGUGGAAUGCGCAGAUAUCAGGAGGAACACCGAUGGCGAAGGCAGGUCUCUGGGCUGUAACUGACGCUGAGAAGCGAAAGCAUGGGGAGCGAACAGGAUUAGAUACCCUGGUAGUCCAUGCCGUAAACGUUGGGCACUAGGUGUGGGGGACAUUCCACGUUUUCCGCGCCGUAGCUAACGCAUUAAGUGCCCCGCCUGGGG
rnacentral:rRNA from 1 species